UUACACCUACGGGAGGCAGCAGUGGGGAAUAUUGCACAAUGGGGGGAACCCUGAUGCAGCGACGCCGCGUGAAGGAAGAAGUAUCUCGGUAUGUAAACUUCUAUCAGCAGGGAAGAAAGAGGACGGUACCUGACUAAGAAGCCCCGGCUAACUACGUGCCAGCAGCCGCGGUAAUACGUAGGGGGCGAGCGUUAUCCGGAUUUACUGGGAGUAAAGGGGGCGUAGACGGCCAUGCAAGCUCGGUGUGAAAGGUGCGG
rnacentral:rRNA from 1 species